CCUACGGGAGGCAGCAGUGGGGAAUUUUGGACAAUGGGCGCAAGCCUGAUCCAGCCAUGCCGCGUGCAGGAUGAAGGCCUUCGGGUUGUAAACUGCUUUUGUACGGAACGAAAAGACUCUGGUUAAUACCUGGGGUCCAUGACGGUACCGUAAGAAUAAGCACCGGCUAACUACGUGCCAGCAGCCGCGGUAAUACGUAGGGUGCGAGCGUUAAUCGGAAUUACUGGGCGUAAAGCGUGCGCAGGCGGUUAUAUAAGACAGAUGUGAAAUCCCCGGGCUCAACCUGGGAACUGCAUUUGUGACUGUAUAGCUAGAGUACGGCAGAGGGGGAUGGAAUUCCGCGUGUAGCAGUGAAAUGCGUAGAUAUGCGGAGGAACACCGAUGGCGAAGGCAAUCCCCUGGGCCUGUACUGACGCUCAUGCACGAAAGCGUGGGGAGCAAACAGGAUUAGAUACCCUGGUAGUCCACGCCCUAAACGAUGUCAACUGGUUGUUGGGUCUUCACUGACUCAGUAACGAAGCUAACGCGUGAAGUUGACCGCCUGGGGAGUACGGCCGCAAGGUUGAAACUCAAAUGAAAUUGACGGCUGAGACGNGCGACGGCGACACGAGGGAGGAGG
rnacentral:rRNA from 1 species